UGAGUCGAUCCUAAGCCAACUGUGAAAGCAGUGACAUCCCGACAAAGGGGCAUUACGUGCGCUGCACUUACACCCCCACGGCAAAGCUCUGAGAUAUAUAUAUAUCUCUCUCUCUCUGACGAUAAAGGUGUCUGGUACGGAAUAUGCGCACGCACGGUGAUCACUACAAAUACGUGUGUGAGUGUGUGCGCUUGUAUGGUUACGCUCAUAAGCGUUGUUGCUCUCUGGUAAAAGGAUAAAGCAUAAGAGAGAGAGAGAGAGACACACAGAGUGUGGGUGAGCGUGAGUUUGCUCUCGCAUGAGCCCCCUGCGUCUGGUUCUAUGUCUGGCGAAAGGGAAUGGGGACUUUGUUCCUUGACCGGUCCCGGCACCCUCGAUUGGCUUUGCCAAUUAAUGGUCCAUGCAAAUGGAACCAGGCCACAGC
rnacentral:rRNA from 1 species